AACGGGGUGUGGCCGGAGAGGACUUUUUUCAUUAGUCCUGGAUCACACACAGGCGGUAAGGUGUCUGUGCCUCUGAAGCCAACCCGUAAUGCAUGAUCAGCACAAAGCCCUGAGCAGUGGAAGCUGACCUAACAUGACGCAAAGCCUGUUGACAAGGAAGCAGAGCGUGUUUCGUGGAAUCCUGCAGAUUCGGUCAGAGGAGAUUUCUGUCCCUAGAGGCAGAAAACUGCUGCAACUUGCCCUCCAAGAGGUGUGGACCAAAGAGGAAGCUGAUGAAAAUCUAACUGCCUGCCUCAAUGUCUCUUGAAAUGGAUGCUCCAAAGGAUGUUUUUACUUAGAAUCCCUAAUCAGCCGAUUUUUAAACAGAUUGAUUUGAGGAACAGAUGGACUCUGGAUGAAGCUGUAAUCCGGAGGUUGCCACUGAUUUCUGUUGACAGUUUUAAACCCCACCUAUUUGUCAACAGUGGGAACUCUUCUGGGGGAAUGCUCUGUUCCUGAAAGAGAAGAAUGUUUCCAUUCUGACCACCGAAUAAAGAGAGAAUGGAUCUAGGCAGGAGUGAUUUGACUGAAGUUAAAUAGGUUUUAAUAUAAAAAGGCUAGCAGAUUCCAAUGGAAGUGAAUACAGUUGGUCUGUAUUUACACACAGGGAUUAAGCAAACUAAUCCGAUGGGAGUCUGUGCCGGCGAUUGUUUGGGAGCAAGAUAGAUCCAUCUGCGUGUAAAGAAUUGUGAAUGAAUGAGGAUCUAUGGCUCAGUGGGCAGGGGGGGCAUGGGGGAGACCACCAGUCUGACUAAUCAGACAUUCACAUUUCCCACUGUUUUGUUCUAUUGUAUCCAAAUGUGAGAAGCUGCUCUCCAGUCCCCCACAUACAAAGCUCUUUAUUGGACUUUACUGUGGCAUGAUCCCGGCUGCUUUACUCCAACUGCCAGCCUCAGAAGGAGUUUUGCUUGAUGGUGUCUGGCAGCUUGGCUUUGCUUCAGUAGAUUUAUGAGCUGUGAAAGAUGGUCAAAUUAACACCCUAAGCGUUCCUGAUAGGAUUAGAGGCCUGCAUUAGCAUACCACCCUGAAGUACCACACUAUCUCUGUGUCUUCCCAGCCCUUCUGGGUGGGGUUUGGAGAGGGUAAGUGGGAGGUGAUGCCACACACCCCUCUCCCAGCUGGCAACACAAAGGGUCACCAUGUGAUUCCAGAUGAUGUUAUUUGGCAUUUAAUAUCUAAUGGCAGUGUCUCCCAAUCAAAAGAACUGAACUGAAGUGGUGAAUGCAUCCCUUUUCAGGGCUGGAUGCCCAUCCUUGCUCUCAUGGAGAGAAAGAGCCGUCUCGUCUUUGGGGUGAGAUUGACAAUCCAACCACCCUAACCAGGACUGGAGUGGACCUUAAAAUAUCCAUUUAAGUCAUAAUGAUUACUGAUUGUUCUGAUUAUAAUGGUAACACAUAUUUAUUGUAGAAAAUUUGGAAAAUGAUGAAAAAUACAGCAAAGUAAAAAUCACCCAUCAUCCCAUUACUUAGAGAUAGCUUGCCAUUAACAUUUUGGUGUAUUAAUUUAUUGAUAAUCUGUUUUCUAUGCAUGUAGACAGGUGAUUUGUUAUUUUUGCUUUAACAAAGUGGGAUCAUAUUGUUUAUCCUAAAUCUUUUAAUAUUAUAUCCAAUACAUUUUAAUAAAUUUCUUCUGCUGGGCGCGGUAAUCCCAGCACUUUGGGAGGCCAAGGCAGGUGGAUCAUCUGAAGUCGGGAGUUUGAGACCAGCCUGGCCAACAUGGUGAAACCUUGUCUCUACUAAAAAUACAAAAAUUAGCUGGGCAUGGUGACGCAUGUCUGUAAUACCAGCUACUUGGGAGGCUGAGGCAAGAGAAUCACUUGAACCUGGGAGG
rnacentral:lncRNA from 1 species